rnacentral:rRNA from 1 species
GACGAACGCUGGCGGCGUGCUUAACACAUGCCAGUCGAACGGACAGGCCCUGCUUUUGUGGGGUGCUCGAGUGGCGAACGGGUGAGUAACACGUGAGUAACCUGCCCUUGACUUUGGGAUAACUUCAGGAAACUCGGGCUAAUACCGGAUAGGAGCUCCUGCUGCAUGGUGGGGGUUGGAAAGUUUCGGCGGUUGGGGAUGGACUCGCGGCUUAUCAGCUUGUUUGUGGGGUAGUGGCUUUACAAGGCUUUGAGGGGUAGCCGGCCUGGGGGGGGUACCGGCCACAAUGGGAACGGGGGUAGGGCCAGGAUUCUAACGGGGGCAAACGGGGGGAAAUAUGGAACAAGGGCGGAAGCCCGAAGGAGGAAACUCGGGGGGCGGAUGACGGCCUUCGGGUUGUAAACCGCUUUCGCCUGUGACGAAGCGUGAGUGACGGUAAUGGGUAAAGAAGCACCGGCUAACUACGUG